rnacentral:rRNA from 1 species
UACGAAGGGUGCAAGCGUUACUCGGAAUUACUGGGCGUAAAGCGUGCGUAGGUGGUUUGUUAAGUCUGUUGUGAAAGCCCCGGGCUCAACCUGGGAAUGGCAAUGGAUACUGGCAAGCUAGAGUGCGGUAGAGGGUAGUGGAAUUCCGGGUGUAGCGGUGGAAUGCGUAGAGAUCCGGAAGAACACCGGUGGCGAAGGCGGCCUGCUGGGCAGUUGCUGACACUGAGGCGCGACAGCGUGGGGAGCAAACAGG